rnacentral:rRNA from 1 species
AAGGCUUUUUCUGAUUUUACUAUCAGCUUUAGCCAAACUUAUACAUGCAAGUAUCCGCGCCCCAGUGAGAAUGCCCUCAGCUUCCUGCCCGGAAGCAAGGAGCUGGUAUCAGGCACAAUUAAUGCAGCCCAAGACGCCUUGCUCAGCCACGCCCCCAAGGGAGUUCAGCAGUAGUAGACAUUAAGCCAUAAGUGUAAACUUGACUUAGUUAAGGCUAACAGGGCCGGUAAAACUCGUGCCAGCCACCGCGGUUAUACGAGAGGCUCAAGUUGAUUCUACCCGGCGUAAAAGGUGGCUAGGGUAAUUUUAUAUAGGGCCGAACCCCCUCUAGGCUGUUAUACGCAUCCGAAGAAUGAAGCACCAACACGAAAGUAGCCCUACCUCCCCCGAACCCACGAAAGCCAUAAAACAAACUGGGAUUAGAUACCCCACUAUGUCUGGCCUAAACUUCGAUAGAAUAUCACACCCCUAUCCGCCAGGGAACUACAAGCACCAGCUUUAAACCCAAAGGACUUGGCGGUGCUUUAGACCCCCCUAGAGGAGCCUGUUCUAAAACCGAUAAUCCCCGUUGAACCUCACCACCUUUUGUUAACUCCGCCUAUAUACCGCCGCCGUCAGCUUACCCUGUGAAGGCCUCAUAGUAAGCAAAAUUGGCAAACCCCAAAACGUCAGGUCGAGGUGUAGCGUAUGAGGUGGGAAGAAAUGGGCUACAUUCUUUCAAACCAGAGAAUACGAAUAUGGACUGAAAUCGCCCAUUUAAAGGAGGAUUUAGCAGUAAGUAAAAACAGAGUGUUUUACUGAA